GGGAAACCCAGCAUGAGUUAUGUCAUGUUAUCGAUAUGUGAAUACAUAGCAUAUCAGAAGGCACACCCGGAGAACUGAAACAUCUUAGUACCCGGAGGAAGAGAAAGAAAAUUCGAUUCCCUUAGUAGCGGCGAGCGAAACGGGAAGAGCCCAAACCAACAAGCUUGCUUGUUGGGGUUGUAGGACACUCUAUACGGAGUUACAAAGGACGACAUUAGACGAAUCAUCUGGAAAGAUGAAUCAAAGAAGGUAAUAAUCCUGUAGUCGAAAAUGUUGUCUCUCUUGAGUGGAUCCUGAGUACGACGGAGCACGUGAAAUUCCGUCGGAAUCUGGGAGGACCAUCUCCUAAGGCUAAAUACUCUCUAGUGACCGAUAGUGAACCAGUACCGUGAGGGAAAGGUGAAAAGCACCCCGGAAGGGGAGUGAAAUAGAACCUGAAACCGUGUGCUUACAAGUAGUCAGAGCCCGUUAAUGGGUGAUGGCGUGCCUUUUGUAGAAUGAACCGGCGAGUUACGAUUUGAUGCAAGGUUAAGCAGUAAAUGUGGAGCCGUAGCGAAAGCGAGUCUGAAUAGGGCGUUUAGUAUUUGGUCGUAGACCCGAAACCAGGUGAUCUACCCUUGGUCAGGUUGAAGUUCAGGUAACACUGAAUGGAGGACCGAACCGACUUACGUUGAAAAGUGAGCGGAUGAACUGAGGGUAGCGGAGAAAUUCCAAUCGAACCUGGAGAUAGCUGGUUCUCUCCGAAAUAGCUUUAGGGCUAGCCUCAAGUGAUGAUUAUUGGAGGUAGAGCACUGUUUGGACGAGGGGCCCCUCUCGGGUUACCGAAUUCAGACAAACUCCGAAUGCCAAUUAAUUUAACUUGGGAGUCAGAACAUGGGUGAUAAGGUCCGUGUUCGAAAGGGAAACAGCCCAGACCACCAGCUAAGGUCCCAAAAUAUAUGUUAAGUGGAAAAGGAUGUGGCGUUGCCCAGACAACUAGGAUGUUGGCUUAGAAGCAGCCAUCAUUUAAAGAGUGCGUAAUAGCUCACUAGUCGAGUGACACUGCGCCGAAAAUGUACCGGGGCUAAACAUAUUACCGAAGCUGUGGAUUGUCCUUUGGACAAUGGUAGGAGAGCGUUCUAAGGGCGUUGAAGCAUGAUCGUAAGGACAUGUGGAGCGCUUAGAAGUGAGAAUGCCGGUGUGAGUAGCGAAAGACGGGUGAGAAUCCCGUCCACCGAUUGACUAAGGUUUCCAGAGGAAGGCUCGUCCGCUCUGGGUUAGUCGGGUCCUAAGCUGAGGCCGACAGGCGUAGGCGAUGGAUAACAGGUUGAUAUUCCUGUACCACCUAUAAUCGUUUUAAUCGAUGGGGGGACGCAGUAGGAUAGGCGAAGCGUGCGAUUGGAUUGCACGUCUAAGCAGUAAGGCUGAGUAUUAGGCAAAUCCGGUACUCGUUAAGGCUGAGCUGUGAUGGGGAGAAGACAUUGUGUCUUCGAGUCGUUGAUUUCACACUGCCGAGAAAAGCCUCUAGAUAGAAAAUAGGUGCCCGUACCGCAAACCGACACAGGUAGUCAAGAUGAGAAUUCUAAGGUGAGCGAGCGAACUCUCGUUAAGGAACUCGGCAAAAUGACCCCGUAACUUCGGGAGAAGGGGUGCUCUUUAGGGUUAACGCCCAGAAGAGCCGCAGUGAAUAGGCCCAAGCGACUGUUUAUCAAAAACACAGGUCUCUGCUAAACCGUAAGGUGAUGUAUAGGGGCUGACGCCUGCCCGGUGCUGGAAGGUUAAGAGGAGUGGUUAGCUUCUGCGAAGCUACGAAUCGAAGCCCCAGUAAACGGCGGCCGUAACUAUAACGGUCCUAAGGUAGCGAAAUUCCUUGUCGGGUAAGUUCCGACCCGCACGAAAGGCGUAACGAUUUGGGCACUGUCUCAACGAGAGACUCGGUGAAAUCAUAGUACCUGUGAAGAUGCAGGUUACCCGCGACAGGACGGAAAGACCCCGUGGAGCUUUACUGUAGCCUGAUAUUGAAAUUCGGCACAGCUUGUACAGGAUAGGUAGGAGCCUUUGAAACGUGAGCGCUAGCUUACGUGGAGGCGCUGGUGGGAUACUACCCUAGCUGUGUUGGCUUUCUAACCCGCACCACUUAUCGUGGUGGGAGACAGUGUCAGGCGGGCAGUUUGACUGGGGCGGUCGCCUCCUAAAAGGUAACGGAGGCGCUCAAAGGUUCCCUCAGAAUGGUUGGAAAUCAUUCAUAGAGUGUAAAGGCAUAAGGGAGCUUGACUGCGAGACCUACAAGUCGAGCAGGGUCGAAAGACGGACUUAGUGAUCCGGUGGUUCCGCAUGGAAGGGCCAUCGCUCAACGGAUAAAAGCUACCCCGGGGAUAACAGGCUUAUCUCCCCCAAGAGUUCACAUCGACGGGGAGGUUUGGCACCUCGAUGUCGGCUCAUCGCAUCCUGGGGCUGUAGUCGGUCCCAAGGGUUGGGCUGUUCGCCCAUUAAAGCGGUACGCGAGCUGGGUUCAGAACGUCGUGAGACAGUUCGGUCCCUAUCCGUCGUGGGCGUAGGAAAUUUGAGAGGAGCUGUCCUUAGUACGAGAGGACCGGGAUGGACAUACCUCUGGUGUACCAGUUGUCGUGCCAACGGCAUAGCUGGGUAGCUAUGUGUGGACGGGAUAAGUGCUGAAAGCAUCUAAGCAUGAAGCCCCCCUCAAGAUGAGAUUUCCCAACUUCGGUUAUAAGAUCCCUCAAAGAUGAUGAGGUUAAUAGGUUCGAGGUGGAAGCAUGGUGACAUGUGGAGCUGACGAAUACUAAUCGAUCGAAGACUUAAUCAA
rnacentral:rRNA from 1 species